rnacentral:rRNA from 1 species
GAUCCUGGCUCAGGGUAAACGCUGGCGGCGCACAUAAGACAUGCAAGUCGAACGGAAGUCGUUACGAAAUGGAAUGAAGAUUUAUCUGAUUGAAGUUUUGUAACAAUGGCUUUAGUGGCGGACUGGUGAGUAACACGUAAGCAAUCUACCUAUUAGAGGGGAAUAACAAUGAGAAAUCAUUGCUAAUACCGCAUAAGCUUGUAGUACCGCAUGGUACAGCAAGAAAAGGAGCAAUCCGCUAA